AUUGAACGCUGGCGGCAUGCCUUACACAUGCAAGUCGAACGGCAGCACGGGAGCAAUCCUGGUGGCGAGUGGCGAACGGGUGAGUAAUACAUCGGAACGUGCCCAGUAGUGGGGGAUAACCCGGCGAAAGCCGGACUAAUACCGCAUACGACCUACGGGUGAAAGCGGGGGAUCGCAAGACCUCGCGCUAUCGGAGCGGCCGAUGUCAGAUUAGCUAGUUGGUGGGGUAAAGGCCUACCAAGGCGACGAUCUGUAGCUGGUCUGAGAGGACGGCCAGCCACACUGGGACUGAGACACGGCCCAGACUCCUACGGGAGGCAGCAGUGGGGAAUUUUGGACAAUGGGCGCAAGCCUGAUCCAGCCAUGCCGCGUGCGGGAAGAAGGCCUUCGGGUUGUAAACCGCUUUUGUCAGGGAAGAAACGCUCCGGGCUAAUACCACGGAGUAAUGACGGUACCUGAAGAAUAAGCACCGGCUAACUACGUG
rnacentral:rRNA from 1 species